UACGAACCGAGCGAACGUUAUUCGGAAUCACUGGGCUUAAAGGGCGCGUAGGCGGGCUGUCAAGUCUGGGGUGAAAUCCCACGGCUCAACCGUGGAACUGCCUUAGAUACUGACGGCCUCGAGGAAGGUAGGGGCAUGCGGAACUGUAGGUGGAGCGGUGAAAUGCGUUGAUAUCUACAGGAACUCCGGUGGCGAAAGCGGCGUGCUGGACCUUUUCUGACGCUGAGGCGCGAAAGCUAGGGGAGCAAACGGG
rnacentral:rRNA from 1 species